AUCUUGGAAUGACGUAUUUCUAUGAAGCUUCCAAGAUCCAUCUGGCCACUCAUUUAGCUGCACCUGUGUGGCCACUGGCACACUCAGGCAGGUCUGGCUGGUUCAAGGAACCUCCUGAAGCCCUCACUUAAACUUCUUUCUCCUUCUUCUUUUUUAAUGGCUCCUUUCUUCUUUCUAGGUAAAAGUGUGAAUGUUUCUUGUGGAAGAAAAGUGUAAGAGACUGACUGGAUACCCGAUGAUGCCUUUCUGAACCCAAAGUAGGAACCCCUGUGUGUUGACACAUAAUCCGGUGAGGGAGUGGAAAGAGCUGACACGGGUCAUGUUCAGCAAAGCCUGGUCACAAAACCCUGCCCCUCCAGAGGAGGAGCAGGUAGAGUCGGAAAGAAGGGCCCCACUGCUCCACCCCCCUGCUGCUGGCUCUCACCAUGACCCUGACACGGGUUAAGAAGGAGGGGGGCUGAAGGGGCGGGAGCAACAGAGCAGAUAUUGCCCCUUCCUACCUCCUGUAUAAUAUGAAAAGGCCCUCUGGGAGCUGCAUACCUGAGGUUCUCAGCAAUUGCCUUAAUUAGAGUUGGUACUUUGGCAAGGGCUCAUGGCUAGAAGUCACUGAAACUGGAGACCAGACACAGGAGAGGGAGGGCAGGAGAGAGUGGGAGUGGCAAAAGGAAGGAAAGGAGGCUGAUAAGGGAAGUGAGGAAGGCACCAGGGUUACCCUUUGCCCUGGGCUGGCAGCGCCAGAGGCUGCUCAUUCCUCCGGUCUUAUCUUGCCCUUACAUUCUGUUCCAGAAGUCAGCUCCCUUUCCUUUCCAGGGGAAAUUCAGCAGAGGAGUAGGUGCACUCACUGCUGGUCUCCCCAGAGAACGGUCUGUAGCAGCGAGGACUCUGCAGCUGAGCAUAUAGAAAAAGAAACACAGUCAUUCAAAGCAGCCAGACCUGAGUUUGAACUCGGCUUAGCUGCUGUCUACGAAAUCUCGACUAAGUUCCAUCCCCUCCCUGCCUGUUCAGGAAUGUAUGGUGAACUUUGAUCCCUUGCUAUUCCUCCUGGCUUCAUAUUAUUUUGCUGUUUCACUAGAGAAGGGGAUGGAAAACAAAGGAAAUGAGCAUCGAAUUCUUCGACCCUAGUUUUUCAUGCCCAAGAGUCAGAUAAGUCAGAACAAUGAGAACCCUAGGAUCCUUCCUUUUUGUAUUUCUUCCUGUUUGUGACAUGAAGUACAGCAGGCUGUGUGUAUUUUAAAACCAUUCUCUCAAGAAUUUUCUACUUUUUUUUUUUUAAGAUUUUUUAUUUAUUCAUGAUAGACAUAGGGAGAGAGAGGCAGAGACACAGGCAGAGGGAGAAGCAGGCCCAAGGUAGGGACCCCAAUGUGGGACUCGAUCUCAGGACCCCAGGAUCACACCCUGGGCCAAAGGCAGGCGCUAAACCGCUGGGCCACCCAGGGAUCCCCAAGAAUUUUCUACUUUUGCAUUUACAUUUA
rnacentral:lncRNA from 12 species